rnacentral:rRNA from 1 species
UACGGAGGGUGCGAGCGUUGUCCGGAAUCAUUGGGCGUAAAGGGCGCGUAGGUGGCCCGGUCAGUCCGUGGUGAAAGCGCGGGGCUCAACCCCGCGCGGCCAUGGAUACUGCUGGGCUGGAGCACUGUAGAGGCAGGCGAAUCCGGGUGUAGCGGUGGAAUGCGUAGAGAUCCGGAAGAACGACCGGUGGCGCAAGGCGGCCUGCUGGGCAGUUGCUGACACUGAGGCGCGCAGCGUGGGAGC